rnacentral:rRNA from 1 species
AUUGAACGCUGGCGGCAGGCCUAACACCUGCAAGUCGAGCGAGCGGCGGACGGGUGAGUAAUGUAUGGGAAACUGCCUGAUGGAGAGGGAUAACUACUGGAAACGGUAGCUAAUACCGCAUACCAUCAGAUGUGCCCAGAUGGGAUUAGCUGGUAGGUGGGGUAACGGCCCACCGAGGCGACGAUCCCUAGCUGGUCUGAGAGGAUGACCAGCCAAACUGGAACUGAGACACGGUCCAGACUCCUACGGGAGGCAGCAGGGGGGAAUAUUGCACAAUGGGCGCAAGCCGGAUGCAGCCAUGCCGCGUGUGUGAAGAAGGCCUUCGGGUUGUAAAGCACUGUCAGCGGGGAGGCGUUACCCGCAGAAGAAGCACCGGCUAACUCCGUGCCAGCAGCCGCGGUAAUUC